GAUGAACGCUAGCGGCAGGCUUAAUACAUGCAAGUCGAGGGGCAGCAGCUUUGUAGCAAUACAGGGGCUGGCGACCGGCAAACGGGUGCGGAACACGUACGCAACCUUCCUUUAACUGGAAGAUAGCCCACCGAAAGGUGGAUUAAUACUCCAUAACAUAUUGAAGAGGCAUCUCUUUGAUAUUAAAGCUCCGGCGGUUAAAGAUGGGCGUGCGUCUGAUUAGGUAGUUGGCGGGGUAACGGCCCACCAAGCCUUCGAUCAGUAGCUGAUGGGAGAGCAUGAUCAGCCACACGGGCACUGGGACACGGGCCCGACUCCUACGGGAGGCAGCAGUAAGGAAUAUUGGUCAAUGGACGCAAGUCUGAACCAGCCAUGCCGCGUGGAGGAUGAAGGCCCUCUGGGUUGUAAACUUCUUUUCUUUGGGACGAAACCCCUGUUUCUACGGGGACUGACGGUACCAGAGGAAUAAGCACCGGCUAACUCCGUGCCAGCCGCCGCGGUAAGAC
rnacentral:rRNA from 1 species